rnacentral:rRNA from 1 species
AGCUCUAGUAGUGUAUGUUGAAGUUGCUGCAGUUAAAAAGCUCGUAGUUGGAUUUCGGAACGCGAUAGUCAAAGUCCGUCUCAACGGCGUGGCUCGACGUUCGCUUCCUAUCUUCGGAUAGUGGCUCUCUUCCUUCACGGGUUGGGAUGUCCGCUUCCGAUCUUUUACUUUGAAAAAAUUCGCGCGCUCAAGGCAGGCGUAACUUGCUAUGAAGAUUACAGCAUGGGAUAAUAGAAUACGACUUUGGUCUUAUUUUGUUGGUUUCUAAGGCUGAGGUAAUGAUUAAGAGGGGUGGUUGGGGCCGCUUGUAUUCAGUGGCUAGAGGUGAAAUUCUAGGAUUUACUGAAGACAAACUACUGCGAAAGCAUUCGGCAAGGACGCUUUCA